GGGAUUUCUGUCUAACAGAAUAAUGAGUGGUUAGUAAGUCGUAUGCCUAGCCAUGGAUUUGUUUUUUGUGAGUUCAUACUAGAAAGAUGUAAUACCAUUUGGGUCGUAAGUGUAUGGACUAUAACCAAGUCCAUGGAGGUUGUCUAUAUUAUUCCAGAGAGAUUUGUCCCUGAUCAUGCAUUCGAUUGGUCCGCAUAUCAUGAUACCGUUUGGAAACAAAAUAAAUGAAUGAAAUAAUAAAUAGAUGUCGGUUUCGAGACCAUUUUCUGUUGUGUUGUUGUUUAGUGUAAAUCACUUGGUCAGUUAACUAGCGUUCCUGCGUUCUUGAUAUCGGUUCAUGAGGCUCUCACGGAGAUGAAGUGGAUUGCGAAUAUACGAGGGGUACUCACAGUGGAGGUCUUGUCGAAAUACCUUAGAUGGGAUCUACUAUCUGAAGUUGUACUGCAGCCAGAGGUAGAAGACCUGCAUAUAUGGUGUCUUUUGACUUUAAAAAGAUAUUCAACAAAAUCAACUUAUGAAGCUCUAUUCAUUGGUGCCACUCAAUUCAGAC
rnacentral:lncRNA from 1 species